CUUUAGCAGUGCUCCAUUACAAAGGUUUAGAGAAAGAAUAGCUGCAAACGAUUACACUAGAUAGUGUGAGUAUAUUCAUAUGUCUUUGUGUGGUCAGUAUGUUUGUCUGUCUCAUUGAUUAAGCAGGAGGGAAAUGAAAGAACAGAGCUGUUUUCAUGCUUUUGACUUUAGGGUAGUUUCACCAGUUCUUAAAGGAGCACUAUCCUUGAAAGGAUGAAGUGGAACAUGAUAAACAGACAGAAUGAGCAAAAGGAUAAAAUUGGGAAGCAGAAAUAGAACUGUCAAGGGGUAACAGGGAAUAGAAGACAAGUAGACAAAAGGAAAUGAAGAACUUGAGCUGUUUACAAAGCAAAAUAGCUUACAAAUGCUAAAGCAUCCAUCGUUUUAGUAUUAAUUUCAGAGUAUUGUAUAAAAUGAAAUUCUGGUAUUCAGAAAACUGCCCUCAUCUUAAACACAUUCAAUUUUCAUUACCCAUAAUGAAAAAAAAACCUAUUUCAAAGGCAAUGAUAUAAUUACUAUUAAAUACAGAUAUAGUCCAAGUCUACUAACUCUUAAACAAUUAAAGCACUGAAACAUAAUAUUUUCCAAAACUGUAUACCCCUCUGAAAAUAUAUACAGCUUUAUGAUAUUGUAAACUGUUAAAUAAGAGAAGCAUCAAAGAAACAGUGGAAUUUUUCUUCUUUUCUGUGACUUGAGAUAAACUAAAUCAGUAGAAAUUUUCAAAGCAGCAUAAAAAAUAAUUUGCUGCAUUUAGCAUUGGCUUAGGGGGUGUUAAAUUGUGACAGGGAAUAAAUAACCAUAAACUAUGUGCAGGAAGGAAUGCUCUAACAAGCUAUAAUAGGAUGUGUACCCAUUCUUUGAUUUUUCUCACCAUUAAUUAUUACUAUUGUAGUGUUAUAAUUAUCUUUGGUCACAGUGAUAAGCUAUUGUGUAAUUAUUUUCUCCUCCACACUGUGUCUAAAGGAUAAAAGAAAAAAUAACUUGAGCAUGCUAAUGAAGCAAAGUAACCUACAACCACCAAUAUAAAAUAGGCCUGGCAAUAGAUAUUUCUUAUUAAUUGAAAGAGGUUAAAAGGAAAAUUUAGAGAUAUUUUCAUUAAACAGGAGAAGGAACAAAACAAAAUUGAGGCAUUUCUCCUCAAAUAAUAAUGUUGCAUUUUGGGAAGGAAGCUAAUGAAAUGGUAUAUGUAUGGCUUAAAACCCCAAGUUGCAGUUAACAUUUCUAUAAAGUUAAUUUCAGCUAAAAGAUGCUGUAGCUGGAAAUCCAUUAAUUUUGUAGCAGUCACUUGUUGAACUACAAGAAAUGCUGAAGCAGAAUGUAUCUGUAAGGAAAGAAUAUUGAUAGUCACUGCAGCGGGCAUAAAUAAGAGUGUCUUGCUGAAUGUGUAGGGAAAAUAAAGACAUUAUUUACACUCAAUGGCAGGUCCACAAUGGUUUUUGGCAAGAAAAGUCAAAAAGAGAUGAUUUAUAGGCUCCUUUAAGAAUUUAAGUAGAGUUCUAAGAAACUAGUCUAAAAAUGAAUCAGUUGUGGUUAGAUGACUAAACAGAGGUAGAGAAAGUCUAGUUCCUUCUAGUAAGAAUGACCACACAUACAUAAUUAUGCCGAAGUAGUUUGCUAUUUCAAUACCAUUAAUUUAGGUCCAUUUUCAUAAAAUUCGCUAUAAAAACUAUUUUGAGUAAAGUUAAAUUAUGUUCUACCGACAUUAUAGACUACAAUGAUUAAAUCUUGAAUCAAAUAAAUUUUUCAGAAAUAUUUACCCAAGCAAUAAAUAUCAAAAUAAAACACUGAAUUUAUUUUUAUUCAUGUAAUCCUUUAAAAAGAGAAUGUCUGUGAAGAGUAAACUUUCUACAAAAUAUGUAAAUCUCAUUGUCUUCAUAUAAUGCUAAAAUAGAAGCAUUAGCCAAUGCUUCUGACCUUCCCGGCAGCCGAAGUAAUAAAGGGAAUAAGAAGUUUUGAGGUUAUGUAGCUUUCAAAUCACAUUACAAAAAGCACAUGAACUCCUGUGUAGAGACAGUUUUAUUAAUUCUAAUGCUAAAAUUUUAUUGUGAAAGUUUUCCAAAAGGGAAAAUAACUCAGCAUUAAUAAUGUUUGCUAAAGGCUUUGCACAAAUUAAGUGCUCAAAAAUUAAUAAAAUAUAUUUUGUGGCUUCUUAAAAUUACUAAAAUGAUUUUGAUAUGAGCUUUGUCAUUGUUUACUCCAGGAAAAAAAAUCAACAUUGUGCUAUUAAACAAUAUUUCUGUUUAACAGGGGCUUUUUAAUAUUGUGUGGGAUAGCACAGAGCCCUUUAGCAGCUAGAUAAGGAUUAGACCUCCUUUUCAGAAUAAAGUUUACAAAUGUGUAGUAUUUUUUAAAAAAAAUCACACUGCAAAGAAAACUAUAUCAAAAUAUUGUUUUCAAAAUAUUUUUGACUUCUACCACUAUAAUGUGUAGUAGCUCUUCUUUAAAGAUGGCCCUCCAUGAAUCACACUUCAGAGUAUCCAUGCCCUAUAGAUUCCUAUCAUGUUGAAUCUGGGAUUAGUGAAGUUAAGUCAUCAAAAAUUUGCAGCUGCUGCCUUGGUCUCAUGGACAAAGGAGCUUUAGGAACACUCCCUCUCAGAACCUAGCUUCUCGAGGGCAGAGAGAAAUAGGUGGAGGUGCCCUGCUUGUCAGUCACAGCUAAUCUACCAGCCUACCGCCAACUGUCAGUCUAGUCAGUGAGUAAAUCAUCUUGAACAUCCAGCCCAGUUAAGCCUGCAGUCCCAGCUGAUAUCUGACUGGGGUCUCAGGGAGAACCCCGGAACCCUUCAGUCCAGUAAAACCAAUAAACUGUAAGAAAGAAUGAAUCACUGCUUUGAGCUCCUAAGUUCUUGGGUCUUGAAUUAGACAUUCAUAAAUAAUUGGAGAAAUUUCAAUCCCUUGCCUCGCUUAGUGGGUUAAGGAUCCAGCAUUGCCAUGAUGUGUGGUGUAGGUCACAGAUGCAGCUCGGAUCUGGUGUUGCUGUGGCUGUGGUGUACGCCAGCAGCUGUAGCUCCAAUUCGACCACUAGCCUGGGAACUUCCAUAUGCCCAGGUGCAGCUCUAAAAAGCAAAAUAAACUAAAGUUACAGAUAACUGCCAUACAAUGUUCUGGUUUAUUGACCUUAUCAAUAAUUAAGGGAAUAUUAAAUUUAAUUAGAAUUCCGUAGGAAUAAAAUUGAACCUUUUUUUCCCUUGUAUCCAAGUUCAUCGACUCUCUCGAAUUCUAAGCACGAUUGUAGUCUCCAAAUUAAGAUCUGAGCGCAGCCAUCGCUUAAAGAUGAAACAGUUGUGGAGAGAAUUGCUCUUAUUUAUUACAAAAGCCUUGCCUUUUGAAUAGGAUAACAAUUUCAGCAGGAUAUUUAAUCAAAACUUUGAAGAUUAUAAGACUACUGUUUAUGACAUAAAAACUAAAAAAGUAUAUAAUGCAUCAACCUAAUGUUAAAUCCCACUUGACUAUUUAAUUGAAUCAGCAGUUCAAAUAUUUUUAGAAAUAGGAGGGGUGUCCGUCAUGGCUCAGUGGUUAUCAAAUCCACUAGGAACCAUGAGGUUGCGAGUUCAAUCCCUGGCCUUGCUCAGUGGGUUAAGGAUCCAGCAUUGCCAUGAGUCGUGGUGUAGGUCGCAGACAUGGCUCAGAUCUGGUAUUGCUGUAGCUCUGGUGUAGGCUGGCAGCUACAGCUCCGAUUAGACCCAUAGCCUGGGAACAUCCAUAUGUUGCAGGUGCGGCCCCAGAAAAGACAAAGACAAAAAAAAAAAAAAAAAAAAAAA
rnacentral:lncRNA from 1 species